rnacentral:misc_RNA from 1 species
GAAAUGCGAUAACUAAUGUGAAUUGCAGAAUUCAGUGAAUCAUCGAGUCUUUGAACGCACAUUGCGCCUCCUGGUAUUCCGGGGGGCAUGCCUGUCCGAGCGUCAUUGCUGCCCUCAAGCACGGCUUGUGUUUUGGGCCACCGUCCAGGGAACUUAUGGCCCCUGGGACGGGCCCGAAAGGCGUCGGCGGCACCGUGUCAGGUCCUCGAGCGUAUGGGGCUUUGUCACCCGCUCCCGUAGGUCCAGCCGGCUGCCAGCCUCGCAACCAACCAUUCUUUAACCAGGUUGACCUCGGAUCAGUUAGGGAUACCCGCUGAACUUAA